rnacentral:lncRNA from 1 species
AGUACUGCUCUCCCACACCGGAGUGCAAGAAGCUGAGUUCUUAGCACUGGCGUGCCGUUGCUUCACAGUACCAGCACAAAGGGUUGGCGGUAUGUGUCAGCCUGCACGUCUUUGAAGGUGCUGGGAAUGAUUACACAGCCAGGGAGAAGAACUUGCCAGUGAUCGCGAGAGACACCGAGCAGUCCUCUCCAGACAUUCGUUGUCGAUCCUUUGUCAUACUUGCUCAGAAUUGGACGGCUUCGGAGAUUCUUCCAGAUGAUAACGCUAUAACCGAUUUGAGGAACCUUCGCACCUUUCCAGCUUCCCCUCACGUCCCUUCGCUCUCGUUUCGGGGGAGAAGUGCCCCUCUGUACUCUCCCAGGAGAAUAGCUCCGCAGCCACGGAAGCUCCUGGGCUCUUCCUAUAGCUCCUUUUUUACUCCGUUUUCUGGGGGUGAGGGAGGCCGCCCUCAGCUGACGGGGGUCAACCUCCCGCCGCCGAAGGAGCCUCCCCGACGGCACAGAGCAGCCCCGGGCGGGCGCCGCGCUCCUCGCGUCCCCCGAGCUCUGGUUUUCUUCUUCCUGAAGCGCUGUGUACACAAAGGGCUCGCUUCUGCCUUUCAAUUAGGUGGCUGAGGAGCGCUACCGGAGGAGCCCGGGAUCCCCGAGGGCGCGGAGCUGCGUGCGAGUCCCACAGCCGGAGGAGAAAGGAAACGCGAAGAGCUUCUUCCAGCGGACGCUGCUCCCCUUCCCCUCCAUCCUGCGGGGUGAGGAACGGAGGGGCUCGGAGAGCGGCGGGGGGGAGGGUGGGAGGAAUCGCUAUUUUCCUUGAAGAACAAUUCAGGACAAUUAUUAUUAAUGCACGCAGCCGGCACCUGCGCGGCUCUCUGCCCGCUUCCCGAAUGGGACUUUUACUGCCCGUAAGCGGCGAACCAGGGCCGGUAAUAGGAUCAGGAAGGGAGGCGUUAGGCGGAAUGCCGCUGCGGCACUACUCGUAAAGGCGCGCUCCCGACAAACGCCUUCGGCCGAGAGGCUGUAAACGUUUUACGGGUAAUGAGAAAGGCAAGGGUUUGGCACGAAGGGGCGGGAAGGGUCGCACCACCUUUUGCUGGACGGGGCCGUGCUCGUUGCUGAAUGCUGGCGUGGGGGCUUCGGCCCGCCGAACGACCACGGAAAGCAAACCAGUAACUUUUACAGAGGAAAGUAAAAUAUUUCAAGUCAAGAACUCCUCUAGUAGCUGAAAAUUAACUUCUGACAACACGCGAGAUUUUCCCUCCCCGCCAUAUCAAAGAAACGUCUGUACGUUAAUUUCACCCUGAAAGAUUUGAGAAAUAACAGCGCCUCAGGGCAAAUUUUCAGCUUCAGAAGGACCCUUUGAGUCGAAGUAGGCGCAGAGAGUACGCCCAAAGCCGCGCAAUACAGCCUCAUUGAUUUUGCUGCGGUGUUCGCACGCCCGGGGAGUACAGAAGCGCAGAUCCCUGAGUUCUUCUGACGAGAUUUUAAUUAGGAAAUGGAAUUCCCCGCUCUGGAGCUGUGCCUUCGUGUAGAUGAGGCAUGACGGCUGGGAGCUUUGCCGAGGGGUGGGUUGGGGUCACGGUGACGAGAGGAGCGGAGCCAGGGCCGCCCCAAACGGCGGCUCUCUUCCUUCCGUCCUCCGUUCUUCUUUCCUUCCUUUUUUUUUUUUUUUCUUUCUCCCUUCGGUAUGCUGCUGAGAACCGACCCCGUGAAUUUCCCGAAGUGGGCCCCUUGGCGUUAUCACCGCUUAAUUCGAACGUUCCUUUCAAGAGUAAAGCAGCAGAGAGGCAAGGUGCUUGCCGCUAGCUCAGCCUGUGCGUUGUUGCCGUGGAUACGGUUCUAAAGCGGUUCGAUUUUAUCGAUGCAAAAGAAAACGUUGAAAACUGAGGUAAGGAUUGGAUUAGCUCCGUGUCUGCCACCGCGGUGCAGUGUGCGCUGCGCGACGCGUACGAGCGGAGCUACCGCUUGCUCAGAGCUGACCUUGAGAAAGGGAAGAGCGUGACGAGGCGGGCACCGCUCCGUCGGGCUACAGCGCAUCUGUUAUCUUUAAAUGUUUGAAUCCCUUCGUCAAGAUUAUGGCGUUAUUCCAAGUGGUAAAACGCGGCUAUUUCGCUUCUCACUGCCGCAAGAAAAUAGAAACCUCCACUUUCCCCACUCUAGAAAGCAUUUUAAACCCAAAGCAUCAGAGUGUUUUUGCUUUUUAUUUUGCUUUCCCGAUUCAAAGCUGAGACGUUACAAACGAUUACGGGUUGGAAAACCUAUCGGAAACAGUGUGGUCACGUUAUGACAAAGCGCUAAUCUGACGCUUGCAAAACGGUGACAGUUGCAACGUUGUUUUUUUUUUUUUCCUUCUCUCUCCCUUCUCCCACUUUUGUUUCCUUUCCUUUAAAGACAAAGGAUUCGAAAAACAAAAUAAAUAUUAAUAAUAAUCCCAAACGCUCCCGCGGUGACAGUUAGUCCCCCCUCCCCAGUGCAAGGAGUCAGGCCGGGCAAUUGGAAGCUCAUUUAAUUAUUUUCAUUCUAAUCGCUUUAAUCCCCCCCUCCCCCACCCCCCCCCGCCGAGAGCAAAUGACGCUAAUGGGACCCACGUGGAGAAGCCCCGGGGUGGCGGCGCGGCUCCUCCCGGCCCCGUGCCCGGGCAGGUGGAGCCGGCGGGGCGGGGCUCGCCUCGGUCAGAGGCUUUACAAUAAAUAAAAUACUGC